rnacentral:rRNA from 1 species
GAUGAACGCUAGCUACAGGCUUAACACAUGCAAGUCGAGGGGUAACGAGAGGAAAGCUUGCUUUCCUUGUCGACGACCGGCGCACGGGUGAGUAACGCGUAUCCAACCUGCCCCCAACUAGGGAAUAACCUUGCGAAAGUAAGACUAAUACCCUAUAAUUUCCUCAGAUGUCAUCUGACGAGGAAUAAAGAUUUAUCGGUUGUGGAUGGGGAUGCGUCUGAUUAGCUUGUUGGCGGGGUAACGGCCCACCAAGGCAACGAUCAGUAGGGGUUCUGAGAGGAAGGUCCCCCACAUUGGAACUGAGACACGGUCCAAACUCCUACGGGAGGCAGCAGUGAGGAAUAUUGGUCAGUGGGCGGAAGCCUGAACCAGCCAAGUAGCGUGCAGGAUGACGGCCCUAUGGGUUGUAAACUGCUUUUAUACAGGAAUAAAGUUAGCCACGUGUGGUUAUUUGUAGGUACUGUAUGAAUAAGGACCGGCUAAUUCCGUGCCAGCCGCCGCGGUAA